rnacentral:misc_RNA from 1 species
GAUGAAGAACGUAGCGAAAUGCGAUAAGUAAUGUGAAUUGCAGAAUUCAGUGAAUCAUCGAAUCUUUGAACGCACAUUGCGCCUGCCAGUAUUCUGGCGGGCAUGCCUGUUCGAGCGUCAUUACAACCCUCAGGCCCCCGGGCCUGGCGUUGGGGAUCGGCGGAGCCCCCCGUGGGCACACGCCGUCCCCCAAAUGCAGUGGCGGUCCCGCCGCAGCUUCCAUCGCGUAGUAGCUAACACCUCGCGACUGGAGAGCGGCGCGGCCACGCCGUAAAACACCCAACUCUUCUGAAGUUGACCUCGAAUCAGGUAGGAAUACCCGCUGAACUUAAGCAUAUCAAUAAGCGGAGGA